rnacentral:rRNA from 1 species
CCUACGGGGGGCAGCAGUGAGGAAUAUUGGUCAAUGGACGAGAGUCUGAACCAGCCAAGUAGCGUGAAGGAUGACUGCCCUAUGGGUUGUAAACUUCUUUUAUAUGGGAAUAAAAUGUUCCACGUGUGGGAUUUUGUAUGUACCAUAUGAAUAAGGAUCGGCUAACUCCGUGCCAGCAGCCGCGGUAAUACGGAGGAUCCGAGCGUUAUCCGGAUUUAUUGGGUUUAAAGGGAGCGUAGGUGGAUUGUUAAGUCAGUUGUGAAAGUUUGCGGCUCAACCGUGAAAUUGCAGUUGAAACUGGCAGUCUUGAGUACAGUAGAGGUGGGCGGAAUUCGUGGUGUAGCGGUGAAAUGCUUAGAUAUCACGAAGAACUCCGAUUGCGAAGGCAGUUCACUGGACUGCAACUGACACUGAGGCUCGAAAGUGUGGGUAUCAAACAGGAUUAGAUACCCUAGUAGUC